rnacentral:rRNA from 1 species
AUGGAAGCUCCGGACGAACUCGGAGCGCGUGAGCGCAAUCAACGAUUACAGACCCCGCCACAUCGCCCUCAACGAUUUUCCUCCUCCGCCUCUCCCCACUUCCACGCCCCGACACAUCGUGCGUACGUACGUACCUACGCGCGCGCCCAAGUUCCCGACGGCCGCCGGCGAUGGCGCUCGCGUCCCGGUUCUGCUCGCCGCCGCCGUCCCAGUGCGGCAUCAUGCUGGGAGGGGGGCCCUUCUUCCCGGGCUUCGGCGUGGACUGCGAGGAGCACGCAUCUCAGGACUACACGCCGCCGGCCCCUCCGCCGUCGCCGGAUUACACUCCGCCGGCCCCUCCCCCGUCGCCGGAUGAUGACACACCGUCGGGCCCUCCGCCGCUCGCGAGCUCCAAGGACUGCACUCCCUCGGCUCCUCCGCCGUCGCCGGAUUACGCUGCCUCGGGCCCUCCGCCAUCGCCAGACUACACUCCCUCGUGCCCUCCACCGUCGCCGGAUUACGCUUGGUCGGACCCUGCUGCUCGGUUCGCUUCCCCGGCGAAGACGCCUUCGCCGCGACCCGCGUCCCCAGGCCCAGAGUACACGCCGUCAGAGCACGCUGCUGCAUCACCUUACUACACUUGGUCGUCUCCUCCUCCGCACGCUUCUUCUCCGGAUUACACGCCCACCAGGCCGUCUCCGCCGCCCUGGUGCUGCAGUCCGGCGCGAGGUCGUGGGCGCCGCCGUAUCACACUCACGCACCGCCGCUUCCUUCCAGUGGCGCCGCGUAGCCGGACUACGCGCCCAGCAUGCUGCCUCUGUUGCCCACGGUGUUAAUUAG